UAAAGGGAAUGGUGAUCGACGUUCUAACGCCGUUGAUACACUUGCACCUAACAUACGGUGGCGUAAAUUUGGAGGCAGCGAACAUCCCCCUCUGUUGGCGGGAACACCUCGGCCACCCCUCACUCCGCCUUCCCUCUGGCCCUCGUAUUUGAUUUCGUGCUGCCUCUUUAGGUGAAUGAAUGGAAGAUAUUCUUGUUAUGAAGUGCAGUGUGGAAAUGAGGCCCGAUGUCGCUGUCUUGAUGACGACCACGACUUCAGCAUUAUAAAACUGUAAAUUUUCUUGCCCUAACACAAACACCAGCGUGAACCAGUUUGCUCCACUUGACAUGCGUACCGCCAUGGUUGCUUUCCUUGGUUAUUGGAAGCCAAAUGUAAUCAUACUAUUGGAAAGUGAAUUGUGUCCAAAUCUCGUUAUGGCUGCUGCUAGGAAUGGUGGAUCAGCCUCGGCAGUGUUCCACUUUUGUAGAUAAUGUUUCUAUUUCAUAGCACGAACCUAGGAAUUCACUGUUAGCUGUUGCAAACUCCACCUUUCAUUAUGAACUUCUUGGGAGACCGAAAAUGUGCUAUUGAUGAUUUUGGCAUUCUUGAGGAAGAGAAGCAUUCUGGAAGAUUUACAGGUACAACUUGCUCAUAGAAAGGUGGGGAUGGCAUCAUCCAUGCACAAGGGAUAAGAGGAUGAUAUGUAGGAACUAAGUAAAUUGCCGGAGGGUAAAGACUUCUAUCUGGAUGGUUCCAAUUGGAAUGUCACUUUCUUUAAAAAGAAAUAUCUAUUUUGUCGUUUCUCAUGCUAGUGUAUACAAGAUAAAAAUUAAAUAUGCGUUUAGAAUAUAUGUCCAUCUCCUAUCUUCAAAUUCAACUGUCAACAGUAUUAUUUAUUAGAAUAAGUACUAGCUUCGCAUAUUUCACCAUUAUUUUAUAUAACACCAUACAUCUCACAGACAGUCUAUCUGAAGUGAUCUCUGCGCGUGUUUUAAUGAGUUGAGGGGUUUAGGGGAAAGAAUGGCGAAGAAUAAAGUGCAACAAGAAGAUCUUGUCAUAUAUUUUUAACUGCCACCAAACUUGAGUAUUUUAAUGAGCAUGAUAUAUAUUCUGUAUCCAAAUUUUGUGCAGUCAAUGAUAAGCUUAUAGUAUAGUAUUAAUUUAAAUGCUUACAAACCUUUGUGCAGUCAUUCUAAUAGCUCACAAUGUGCUUAACAAAUUCAUCCAGAUACUGUCAGUAUCCUUUUUACCCCGCAACCUCGACAUGGGAGAGAGAUCACUCUGGUAUUGGUUUAUGGGAUAACCACGUCUCUUUUCUGUCAUGACUAUUAUAGAAGACAUUUCUUUAUGCUUUGUGUUUGUGGUUUAAAGCCUGUGUAUUUUGCUCAUUUCGGAACUUAUGAUAGCACAGUUGAUCAUUUUAUCUUCCUGCUCACCGAUCAACUUGUCAAUGGAAUUCAUGGCAUGGGGUAAUUAUGUUAUUUUCAAUCAGCUAUCUUGGACAAGAGCCUUUGGCCAUCUUUGAGAUUUGGGAUUGUCUUUCUACUUCUCCCAACUUAUCGUGGAGAAGACUUGAUUGAUAAUAAUAUUUUGAAAACUUUUCUUCAAAAAUUCACCCCUCCCCUAUCUGCUUGACCAGCACCGUGUUUCCGUAACAGGACGUCAGGCACGACAGCUGCAGGGGAAUGUUAAAAAUCAGUAUAAUGUCAGUUUGUCCAAAAGAUUGAAUCUAUGACUAUCUAAUUGCUUCAAAACGACAUACCUUCCCCGUCUAGUCAAAUAAGUCAAAGCGAUUUUGGUCACAGAAAUGGGCAAAGUGCGCGCUUAACAAUGUAGAGUUUCCCUCUUCCAUAAGAGAUUGCACAAGUCCUAGCAUAUCCCCUGAUUUGGUUCCUAGAUAUUGAGAUGCUUCUGAAGAUAUUUUGAGUAACUUCUCUGUAAUGACACUGGCCCUGGUGAUAUGGUGUGCUGUUUUAUCGAGUUUCUUUUGAAUGCUCGAGAAGAUGGCAUGUUCUGGGGUGCAAUUCCUAGAUUUUGAGGAGCUUCUGAAGAUGCUCAAAAGAGUAACUUCUCCAUGGACAAAUUAUCACCUUGUUGAUAUGCUGUGCCAACACUAGUAUUAUCUCAAUUAUCUGUUGAAUGCUUGAUAAAGAACGCUCAUGGUCUCUUUCAAGUUCAUGGAGACUUUUAUUUGCAUGUAAUUAUAUACUUUUAGAACCAGACCUCGUCACUUUCCUAGAGACAGAAACAUGAAUUAUUCUUUUCCAUAUCAGUAUGAAUUGUACUUCAUAUGGC